AACGAACGCUGGCGGCAUGCCUAACACAUGCAAGUCGAACGAAGGCUUCGGCCUUAGUGGCGCACGGGUGCGUAACGCGUGGGAAUCUGCCCUUUGGUUCGGAAUAACAGCUGGAAACGGCUGCUAAUACCGGAUGAUGACGAAAGUCCAAAGAUUUAUCGCCAGAGGAUGAUCCCGCGUUGGAUUAGGUAGUUGGUGGGGUAAAGGCCUACCAAGCCGACGAUCCAUAGCUGGUCUGAGAGGAUGAUCAGCCACACUGGGACUGGGACACGGCCCAGACUCCUACGGGAGGCAGCAGUGGGGAAUAUUGGACAGUGGGCGGAAGCCUGAUCCAGCAAUGCCGCGUGAGUGAUGAAGGUCGUAGGGUUGUAAAGCUCUUUUACCCGGGAAGAUAAUGACUGUACCGGGAGAAUAAGCCCCGGCUAACUCCGUG
rnacentral:rRNA from 1 species